GUAAGAAUCUCAAUUGUAUUGCUUUGAUCGUGCGUGUUCGAGUUCAUUCAUUCAAACUUGCACCAACAAUGAUCUGUUCAUGAGCAUGAAUGAUGAAAUCUAUUAUCAUUAAUCCUUCUAGGAAAGAGUAUGGUUUGAUGGUGAAUUACUACACAAGGAGAGGUGAUAUGAACGGUGCACGUGAAAUCUUUGAAAAUAUGCGAGCUAGGGAAAUAGAACCAUGGUCUCAUGUCUACACAAAGUAAUAACUACUCCUAUUUUCUCCCUUUCUUUCGUCAUAUGUUAAUUUGAUCUCAACGUUAGCUUAAUAUUUUUGCUUCAUUUAUUGACAUAAAGGUCACCAUUCUAGUUUUGAAUAUGGUUAAAGUUUGAUUGAUUUGUA